rnacentral:rRNA from 1 species
AUGAACGCUAGCUACAGGCUUAACACAUGCAAGUCGAGGGGCAGCACAAGGCAGCAAUGCUGAGGUGGCGACCGGCGCACGGGUGCGUAACGCGUAUCCAACCUUCCCGUUACUCAUGGAUAGCCUUCCGAAAGGGAGAUUAAUACAUGAUGGUGUUGAAAUUCCGCAUGUCAUUUCAACUAAAGAUUUAUCGGUAACGGAUGGGGAUGCGUGACAUUAGCUAGAUGGCGGGUAACGGCCCACCAUGGCGACGAUGUCUAGGGGUUCUGAGAGGAAGGUCCCCCACACUGGAACUGAGACACGGUCCAGACUCCUACGGGAGGCAGCAGUGAGGAAUAUUGGUCAAUGGCCGGGAGGCUGAACCAGCCAUGCCGCGUGAAGGUCACGGCCCUAUGGGUCUUAAACUUCUUUUGUAAGGGAGCAAUAAGGUUCACGUGUGGACUGAUGAGAGUACCUUACGAAUAAGCAUCGGCUAACUCCGUG